rnacentral:rRNA from 1 species
GAUGAACGCUGGCGGCGUGCUUAACACAUGCAAGUCGAACGAAGCAUUUAGAACAGAUUAUUUCGGUAUGAAGUUCUUUAUGACUGAGUGGCGGACGGGUGAGUAACGCGUGGGUAACCUGCCUUGUACUGGGGGAUAGCAGCUGGAAACGGCUGGUAAUACCGAAUAAGCGCACGGUGCGGCAGGGAACAGUGUGAAAAACUCCGGUGGUAUAAGAUGGACCCGCGUCUGAUUAGCUAGUUGGUGAGAUAACAGCCCACCAAGGCGACGAUCAGUAGCCGACCUGAGAGGGUGACCGGCCACAUUGGGACUGAGACACGGCCCAGACUCCUACGGGAGGCAGCAGUGGGGAAUAUUGCACAAUGGAGGAAACUCUGAUGCAGCAACGCCGCGUGAGUGAAGAAGUAAUUCGUUAUGUAAAGCUCUAUCAGCAGGGAAGAUAGUGACGGUACCUGACUAAGAAGCUCCGGCUAAAUACGUGCCAGCCGCCGCGGUAA